rnacentral:rRNA from 1 species
UAUCUCUGUAGAGUCUGCAUAUCAAUAAGCGGAGGAAAAGAAACUAACAAGGAUUCCCUUAGUAACGGCGAGUGAAGCGGGAAGAGCUCAAAUUUGAAUCUUCAAGGUUUUACCUUGACGAAUUGUAGUUUAAAGAAGUGUUUUCUGUUGGAGUUUUGGUAAAAGUUCUUUGGAAUAGGACAUCAUAGAGGGUGAGAAUCCCGUAUUUGACCAUUAUUUCCAGCUUUGUGAUACACUUUCAAAGAGUCGGAUUGUUUGGGAAUGCAGUCCAAAAUGGGUGGUAAAUUUCAUCUAAAGCUAAAUAUUGGCGAGAGACCGAUAGCGAACAAGUACCGUGAGGGAAAGAUGAAAAGAACUUUGAAAAGAGAGUUAAACAGUACGUGAAAUUGUCAAAAGGGAAGCGUUUGACACCAGUGUUGUUUUCUCGAAAAUCAAUUAAAAAAGGCAGGAUUUUGUGUUGUAUUGACUUUAUCAGCUUUCUGCACUCUUUUCUUGUCUUUUUUUAAUGCACUUUUCGUUUAACAAGUCAACAUCAAUUUCUUUUGUUGUAAAAGGGUCAUUGGAAGGUGGCUUUCUUUUCGGAGAAAGUGUUUAUAGCCUUUGGCCUCUGCAAUCGGAGAGAUUGAGGUCUGCAGCGUAGAUCCUUCGGGGUUAGAUACAUUUGUGCUAAGUUAUAGCCUUUCAUAGACAACUUGUUGACUAUGAUCAGUCAUGUAGCUUACUCGCUUAUGCUAUUUUACCUACGCUUAGGAUGUUGAUAUGCAUGACUGAUAU